UACAUACUGUGCGAACGUUAUUCGGAUUCACUGGGCUUAAAGGGUGCGUAGGCGGCUUGUUAAGUAGGGUGUGAAAGCCCCCAGCUCAACUGGGGAACUGCACUCUAUACUGGCGAGCUGGAGUGAGAUAGGGGUGUGUGGAACUGCCAGUGGAGCGGUGAAAUGUGUUGAUAUCGCUUGGAACGCCGAAGGUGCAAACAGGUCGCUGGGGAUGUGCCGACGCUGAGACACGAAAGCCAGGGGAGCAAACGGG
rnacentral:rRNA from 1 species